rnacentral:tRNA from 1 species
GCGCCUGUAGUCCAACUUGGCUAAGACAUUGGCCUGCCACGCCAACGAUCCGGGUUCGAAUCCCGGCAGGCGCA